GAAUGAUUCCCCUGUGAAGUCCCUUGUUUACUGUAUUUGUAAUUAGCCACCAAGAACUUGAGUAACCGGUUUCCGAGGAGAACAUAUAUCCUGAAUCAGUUCCUGGACAUUUGUUUGAGGUCUUGUAAGGGAAACUGAAGGGAAUUGUGUAUUGAACAGGAUGGCUUAGACCUGCUCAACUUCUGAGAAUUGAGAUUGUGAGACUCCCAGUUCUAGCCAGAUAUCACCACUUCAAAGACAUAACAAAAAGGCAAAGUGGGCAAUCCAGAUGUAUCACUUGACUUUCUGACUACUGGAAGAAUUUCCCUUCAUUAUUGCACACCAGGGGUAUCCCACAGCUUUCUCCUCACCAACUCUUCAAAGAUCCAGUUGAUACAAAAUGCACAUGCUAAAAUAUGAUUCCCCAGUCCUGUCCAAGCUGAUGUGGUCUUCUCCAAGCCCCCAGUCCUGACCAAGCUGAAUCUCCUUUGUCACUCAUGGGGCAACAGGGACUUACCUGCCAGUGCAGGAGAAAGGAGAGAUCCUUUAGAACAGGAGCUAAGAUGCCAGGAGCUCACGCAAAAUGCUUGAAGAAAGGGGCUUAGCCAGAAACCGAACUGGGAGUUGAUGCCCAGUUUAGGAAGAGUUCAAAUCGAGGAGUCAGAAGCAGCAAAUUCUACAUCAGAUCCACAAAUUCUUAACUAGAAGAAUAAAAACAAGUCAAAUCAAGUUGGGCUCAAAAGGAAUAUAGGGGCAGAAGAGGUGAUGUGCAGAUGGGUGUGCCUGGCCAAAUGGUGGGGGUAGGCACAGGCAGCACACACCAUUGAUUUCUUUGCUUCCUUUUUUAAAGAUUUUAUUUUUAAGAGCAGUUUCAGGUUCAAAGCAAAGUUAGAAGUACCAAGAUUUUUUCCAUAUACCCCUGUCCCUACAUAUGCAUAGCCCCCUCAUUAUCAAAAUCCCCUAUCAGAGUGUAAUAAAUGACAAUGAACCUACGUUGGACGCAUCAUAAUCACGUAAAGUCCUGGUGUACAUUAGCUUUCACUCUUGGUGUUGUACAUUCUAUGAAUUCGGACAAAUGUGUAAUGGCAUGUGUCCACUGUUAUGGUAUCAUACAGAGCACUUUCACUGCCACAAAAAUUUUCUGCUCUCUGCCUAUAGUUGGGGAUCAGAAACCAAUACCCCAAAAUAUGGCAUUUUGACAUGCUGAACUGAAGAAGCUUUAAUGUCUCUCUGACCUUCCUUCUUCUGCCCCACCUUCUUUCCCAAAACCUAGGAUUAUCUUGUUCCCUUAUCUGCUUAAAGUCCGAACCUGCCAAAGAAGAAAACAAUGACCUCUGCACCCUUCCCUGAGUUUCCAUUAACUGAACCUAGAUUCCAGGAAGAAAGAUUGAAGUCUGUCAACACACCUGGACAGACUUUUAUCACAAACCAUUGUCCACUCUGCUAACCCAACAGAUUUUGUCCCAGACAACUGUAUUCUCUUCAAGCCCAUUGAAUUCUCCCUAGGAAUCAUGCAUUGCCCCUCAACAGAAUUCCUCUUGUCCCUACUCACAUAGUUUGCUUUGCCGGGAUCCUAAGAUUUCUUGGAAAACCUUAGGACCAGGAGGUAUUCUUGUGGACUCAUUCUGUUUUUCUGUAACCUCAAGAUGGUGUAUAAGCUUCUGCCCCCUAAUCGGGGGUUGGAGUAAUCACUGUGUCUCCUGUGUGAAAGUAAACACAUUUGUAUGCCCUUUUCCCAAUUAAUCUACCUUCUGUGAGUUGAUUUUUUAGCGAAACUUCAGAGGGCUCUUUGACUCCUACACUAUUUAUCCCUCCCCCUCCCUUCAGCCCCUAACAACCACUGAUCUUCUUACUGCCUCCACAGUUUUACCUUUUCCAGAAGGUCAUAUAGUUGAAAUAUUACAGUCCGUUACCUUUUCAGAUUAGCUUCUGUCACUUAGUAAUAUAUAUUUAAGAUUCCUCCAUGUCUUUUCAUGGCUUGAUAGUUCAUUUCUUUUCAGUAUUAAAUGAUAUUCCAUUGUUUGAUGUACCACAAUUUAUCCCUUACCUACUGAAGGAAUACCUGGUUGUUUCCAAGAUUUACCUGGCCACCUAUGGAAUACUGUAGUUUCCAAAACUGGCCAUAAGAUAUUUCCUACUAUUCUUGCAUAUUGCAGUUGCAUAAGAAUUGCGUCCUAAGAUUUUCCAGAAAUUUGGCACUUCUCCAUCAAGACAUGGAUUCUACUUCCUCUUCCCUUAAGUCUAGGCAGAUUUGUGACUGGUAACCACAGAGCAUGGUAGAAAUUACACGGAGUGAUUUCUGAGGUUAUAAAUGAUGAAGCUCAUCUACCUCACAGGAACAUAGGCAUUGAGUCCUGAGCCACCAAGCAAGUGUCCAACUACUCUGAAACUGCCAUGUGGUGAGGAAGCCCAAACUUGAUGUGAUUUCACCUCUUCUGCCCCUAUUCCUUUUGUGCCCAACUUGAUUUGACUUGCUUUUAUUUUUCUAGUUAAGUGAAAAGAUAGCAAGGGGAAGCACUGAAGCUGCAUCGUGAGCGAGAGAUGCCCAGCCACCAGGCAGCUGCUCCACCCACCUCACCCUCAGCCUACUUUCCUCCACCCUCAACCUUGUACUUUUGUUGCUCCAACCACUGUCUGGUUACAAUCAGAGGAGAGAUUCCAAGACAGUAGCACCCAGCUAAACCCUUCCUGAAUUCGCAACUCACAAAAGUUAUAAAAGACAAUAAAAUGACUGUUCUUUAAGUUAUAUGUUUUGAAGUGAAUUAUUAUUCAGCAACAAAUAACCCAUAACAUCAUCCUUUUUUCCUCACCUCCACUUCCCAGUUUUGCCUCCAGUCUGAGUACUUAAAGUUAGGCCUACAAAUCCAGUCCUUUCCCUUCAAAGGAAACUUAUUAUAAACUGAGGCAUCCAGAAAAAGGCUGUCAUGAGGUUUUAAUGUCAUUCUCUGCUCUCUUCAUU
rnacentral:lncRNA from 1 species